UACAGAGGGUGCGAGCGUUAAUCGGAAUGACUGGGCGUAAAGGGUGCGCAGGCGGAUUUAUAAGUUUCAUGUGAAAGUCCCGGGCUUAACCUGGGGAUUGCAUGAGAUACUGUGAGUCUAGAAUAUGGCAGGGGGUAGUGGAAUUUCCGGAGUAGCGGUGAAAUGCGUAGAUAUCGGAAGGAACACCAGUGGCGAAGGCGACUACCUGGGCCAAUAUUGACGCUGUGGCACGAGAGCGUGGGUAGCGAACAGG
rnacentral:rRNA from 1 species